rnacentral:lncRNA from 1 species
AAAGGUCCUUUGACAUUGUUUAACCUAUAACAAAUCCCUUGACCAUUUUUUUGGUGAUUUAAAGGGAUGUAAGGUUUUUCCCUUUCUAAAAUGCAUUUUUAUUCGUUUAAAAAUUGAAGUUAAAUUGUUUAAUUGCUUGAAUGUUUUGUUGAGCUAUUUGUUUGACUUUGUGUUGACUCAACUUCUGUUUGACAUUGAUCUUGGUUUAAUUGGACAUUAGUUUGAUCAAAUGAAGUUCAUCCCUUGAUCAAUUUGGGACUUCUUU